CUGGGGUUUUGCGGUGUAUGGAACACAGGACCUAAUGUCCCAAAUAAAUACUAAAACAAUUUAGCAAAUUAGCUGUUCAGCAGUAGAGGGUUCUCAGUCUAUACGGAAAAAAUGAUUUGCGAUACGAGGACCUCGAGUUACGAGCUCCGGGGAUGGAUCUCAAGGGCUUCAGGAAGAAGAAAUCUGAUAAUCUGACUCCGCUUGUUUACAUGACGUCUGCACUGAGUCAACAGCCUGGGGCCAAAUGCACCGAGGAAGGAUCACUUUACUGUCAGCCAAGAGACAGAGAUGGACGAUGAAUCAAAAAGAUAGUGACACGUCACCGACGGAGACGAUCUUCAUCUUCCUCUACGCAGCUGCGGACAACAGCAGGUCAGUUUGGACUCUUUGUGCUGUCUCUGUGCCCGUGGGCCGACACUGAAACUCUACCUGUCCCUUUUAUGACGGACUCUCUCGUGAACGUUGUUGUCUGAGUUGCAGACAAAAGAACCCGGUUUGUUAUUUUGCCCGUCUUUUAGCCGUUCAUUGCUCAUCCCCAUUAAAACGUCUCCAGGGAAGGUGUGUUUGUGUGUGUGGAUUGUUGUGGUGUAUGCUGAGGGUACGGGGGGGGGGGGCAUUUGAAACAUAUUCUGAAUCAUAUUUCCUGUUUUUGUUUGUUUUCUCAGUUUCUGUCCUUAAAAUAUUCUAAUUCUACUCUUUUAUUACUGUGGUUUGAUGUUUGAGGUUGUUUUUUCCCCUUGUUGUGUUAGGGAGACUUUCGUCAGGGAAAAAAAACGACAUUUCAAUAUUUUAUA